GUUACCGAACCCCAAGAGUCUCCUCGCAGUCGCCAGCCGUCCUUCCAAGCUGGCCCUCGGCAGGCUGGGAGUCUUAUCCGUGUCUUCUUUCCAUGCUCUGGUGUGUUCUAGAGAUGACUCGGCUCUCCGGAAAAGAACCCUUUCGCUGACCCAGCGAGGGAGGAGCAAGAAGGGCAUAUUUUCUUCCUUAAAAGGGCUGGACACGCUGGCAAGGAGAGGGAGGGAGAAAAGAGCGUCCGUGACUCAGGUGAGUCC
rnacentral:lncRNA from 1 species